ACGAACGCUGGCGGCGUGCUUAACACAUGCAAGUCGAACGGAAAGGCCCUGCUUUUGUGGGGUGCUCGAGUGGCGAACGGGUGAGUAACACGUGAGUAACCUGCCCUUGACUUUGGGAUAACUUCAGGAAACUGGGGCUAAUACCGGAUAGGAGCUCCUGCUGCAUGGUGGGGGUUGGAAAGUUUCGGCGGUUGGGGAUGGACUCGCGGCUUAUCGGCUUGUUGGUGGGGUAGUGGCUUACCAAGGCUUUGACGGGUAGCCGGCCUGAGAGGGUGACCGGCCACAUUGGGACUGAGAUACGGCCCAGACUCCUACGGGAGGCAGCAGUGGGGAAUAUUGCACAAUGGGCGGAAGCCUGAUGCAGCAACGCCGCGUGCGGGAUGACGGCCUUCGGGUUGUAAACCGCUUUCGCCUGUGACGAAGCGUGAGUGACGGUAAUGGGUAAAGAAGCACCGGCUAACUACGU
rnacentral:rRNA from 1 species